rnacentral:lncRNA from 1 species
UUAACAAUUUAGGAUAGAGGAUAAUUGAUGAGAAGUGUGUUAACUUAAAUGAAGUAAUAAAUGAAGUUGUGAUCUUAAAUCUCUGUAAUCUUAAUUUAACUAGUGGUAAUUAGAAUUAGUUUAAUUAUAAAUUGAAAUUCAUUCGUUUAAAUAAGAUUGAGUUGAUUACGAGUUAGUACUUGGUGAUUUUUAUUAAAUAAUUCUCUAUGGGAACGAUACUCAACUUAUCACUUUAUUACUUGUU